rnacentral:tRNA from 2 species
UCCUCUGUAGUUCAGUCGGUAGAGCGGCGGACUGUUAAUCCGUAUGUCACUGGUUCGAGUCCAGUCAGAGGAG